rnacentral:rRNA from 1 species
GAUGAACGCUGGCGGCGUGCCUAAUACAUGCAAGUCGAGCGAACAGACGAGGAGCUUGCUCCUUUGACGUUAGCGGCGGAUGGGUGAGUAACACGUGGGUAACCUACCUAUAAGACUGGGAUAACUUCGGGAAACCGGAGCUAAUACCGGAUAAUAUUUCGAACCGCAUGGUUCGAUAGUGAAAGAUGGCUUUGCUAUCACUUAUAGAUGGACCUGCGCCGUAUUAGCUAGUUGGUAAGGUAACGGCUUACCAAGGCAACGAUACGUAGCCGACCUGAGAGGGUGAUCGGCCACACUGGAACUGAGACACGGUCCAGACUCCUACGGGAGGCAGCAGUAGGGAAUCUUCCGCAAUGGGCGAAAGCCUGACGGAGCAACGCCGCGUGAGUGAUGAAGGUCUUCGGAUCGUAAAACUCUGUUAUUAGGGAAGAAUAAACGUGUAAGUAACUGUGCACGUCUUGACGGUACCUAAUCAGAAAGCCACGGCUAACUACGUG